rnacentral:tRNA from 3 species
GCGCCCGUAGCUCAGCUGGAUAGAGCGUUGGCCUCCGGAGCCAAAGGCCGCAGGUUCGAAUCCUGCCGGGCGCGCCA